GACGAACGCUGGCGGCGUGCUUAACACAUGCAAGUCGAACGGUGACGAGGAGCUUGCUCCUCUGAUCAGUGGCGAACGGGUGAGUAACACGUGAGCAACCUGCCCCAGACUCUGGGAUAACAGUUGGAAACAGCUGCUAAUACCGGAUACGAGACGGAGAGGCAUCUCUACCGUCUGGAAAGUUUUUCGGUCUGGGAUGGACUCGCGGCCUAUCAGCUAGUUGGUGAGGUAAUGGCUCACCAAGGCGACGACGGGUAGCCGGCCUGAGAGGGCGACCGGCCACACUGGGACUGAGACACGGCCCAGACUCCUACGGGAGGCAGCAGUGGGGAAUAUUGCACAAUGGGCGAAAGCCUGAUGCAGCGACGCCGCGUGAGGGAUGACGGGCCUUCGGGUUGUAAACCGUCUUUCAGCAGGGAAGAAGCGGAAAGUGACGGUACCUGCAGAAGAAGACACCGGCUAACUACGUGCCAGCAGCCGCGGUAAUCACG
rnacentral:rRNA from 1 species